rnacentral:rRNA from 1 species
UAACGUGUGGGCAACCUGCCCUAUACUGGGGAAUAAUCACUGGAAACGGUGACUAAUACCGCAUGUCAUUACGGAAGGGCAUCCUUCUGUAAGAAAAGGAGUAAUUCGGUAUAGGAUGGGCUCGCAUCUGAUUAGCUAGUUGGUGAGAUAACAGCCCACCAAGGCGACGAUCAGUAGCCGACCUGAGAGGGUGAUCGGCCACAUUGGGACUGAGACACGGCCCAA